UUUCCCAAACCUACCAACUGGUUCAUACAGGGUGACUAUAAAGCCUGAGAAUACCGAAGGACCCAGUAACGAAACGUCACAUAUAGAUAUCAACGAAAAAUUACCACUCGCUCCCGCCCUGUCUGUUGUCGUCUUCCACAGAACCACAAAACAGUAUGAACUCAGAUGGGAAGGAGAAAGUAACUACACUUACACAGUUUAUGUUUGCAUCGACGACACCUCCAGCAAAGACUGCAAGG